AACGUAGGAGACGAACGUUAUCCGGAUUUACUGGGCGUAAAGGGCGUGUAGGCGGUUUGUUAAGUCUGGCGUGAAAGCUCUCGGCUAAACCGGGAGAGGUCGUUGGAUACUGGCGAACUAGAGGAUGGUAGAGGCGUGUGGAAUUCCGGGUGUAGUGGUGAAAUGCGUAGAUAUCCGGAGGAACACCGGUGGCGAAGGCGGCUUCCUGGACCGACACUGACGCUGAGGCGCGAAAGCUAGGGGAGCAAACGGG
rnacentral:rRNA from 1 species